rfam:Prosthecomicrobium hirschii strain 16 C1, whole genome shotgun sequence.
CCUGGUGGUUCCAGCGGGGGGCCCAUACCCGAUCCCAUUCCGAACUCGGCCGUCAAACCCCCCAGCGCCCAUGGUACUUCGUCUCAAGACGCGGGAGAGUCGGUCGCUGCCAGGC